CACGUAGGGCGCAAGCGUUGUCCGGAAUUAUUGGGCGUAAAGAGCUCGUAGGUGGUUUGCUGCGUCCGCUGUGAAAACCCAAGGCUUAACCUUGGGCUUGCAGUGGAUACGGGCAGACUAGAGGUAGGUAGGGGAGAAUGGAAUUCCCGGUGUAGCGGUGAAAUGCGCAGAUAUCAGGAGGAACACCGGUGGCGAAGGCGGUUCUCUGGGCCUUACCUGACACUGAGGAGCGAAAGCGUGGGGAGCGAACAGG
rnacentral:rRNA from 1 species